rnacentral:rRNA from 1 species
UACGUAGGGGGCAAGCGUUGUCCGGAAUCAUUGGGCGUAAAGAGCGCGUAGGCGGUCCGGUAAGUCAGCUGUGAAAGUCAAGGGCUCAACCCUUGAAAGCCGGUUGAUACUGUCGGGCUAGAGUCCGGAAGAGGCGAGUGGAAUUCCCGGUGUAGCGGUGAAAUGCGUAGAUAUCUGGAGGAACACCGGUGGCGAAGGCGGCAUCCUGGACCGAGAUUGACGCUGAGGCGCGAAAGCCAGGGGAGCAAACGGG